rnacentral:rRNA from 1 species
UACGGAGGGUGCGAGCGUUGUCCGGAAUCACUGGGCGUAAAGGGCGCGUAGGCGGCCUGAUAAAUAGGGGGUGAAAUCCUGCGGCUUAACCGCAGGGCUGCCUUCUAAACUGUCAGGCUGGAGCACAGUAGAGGCAGGUGGAAUUCCCGGUGUAGCGGUGGAAUGCGUAGAGAUCGGGAAGAACAACAGUGGCGAAGGCGGCCUGCUGGGCUGUUGCUGACGCUGAGGCGCGACAGCGUGGGGAGCAAACAGG